CUUUCGCGAUCCUCACUUUGGAAAUCACAGUGAGAAGACGAUGGACGUUCAUAGGAAAGCAUUGAGUAAUGCUUUCCUAUGGGCGGUUUGAAUGUGCGCGCGGCUCUUGCCGUGCAUGCGCAUUCGGAGCUGACGUCGGCAGCGGGAGGAGAGGUCACCAGCGCAGAGGCAGCCCGGCGCUGGAGAAAGGUAAGUGGCUUGAGCCCAGCGGGAGGGGGUCCCUGAGGGUGGGGGGGACCUAAUGACCCUAUAGUGCCAGGAAAAUUAGUUUGUUUUCCUGGCACUAUAGUGGUCCUUUAAAGAUUGCUUACCUAGAUUUUAGUAAGACUUUUGACACUGUUCCACUUAGAAGGCUUAUCAAUAAUCUGCAAUGUCUACUGCACCACCCUGAUCUAUUAUUUUAGUUACCCAAUCAAAAAAAUCAAUAAGAUUUGUUUGGCAUGAUCUCCCUGAAGUAAACCCAUGUUGUCUCUUGAAAUCCAUGUGAUUUUAGAUGUUUAACAAUCCUUUCCUUUAAUAUGGUUUACAUUCCUUUCCCCACUGCUGAAGUAAGGCUUACUGGCCUGUAGUUGCCUGACUCCUCCCUACUACCUUUCUUGUGAAUAGGCACAACAUUCGGUAACUUCCAAUCUUCCGGGACUACUCCGGUUAACAAUGAUUGGUUAAAUAAAUCUGUUAAUGGUUUCGCUAGUUCACCACUAAGUACUUUUAAUAACUUUGGGUGUAUCCCAUCACCCCAUCGACUUAUUUGUCUUUACUUUUGACAGUUGAAAUAGAACCUCUUCCUCUCUAAACUCACAUGUAGCAAAUGACUAAUUUUUCCUUUUUCUUAACUGAAGUCCCUCAGCUUGACAUUUAUCCUCGUCUACAUACCUUCCUUCUUUUGUUUUUAAUCUAACUAAUCCUUGUUUUACUUUCCUUUUCUCAUUUAUGUAUCUAUAAAAUGUUUUAUCCCCCUUUUCUACUGACUGUGCUAUGCUCUCUUCUGUGUGUGUUUUGGAGGCUCUUAUAACUUGCUUAGCCUCUUUUUGCCUAAUCUUAUAGAUCUGUCUGUCUUCCUCACUCUGGUUUUCUUUUAUAAUUAGAUGCAUAUUUAAAAAAAAAAAAAAAUCUGACACAAAAGUAGUGGCUGCAGCUGGUAAUGUUAAGUUUCACAUCAAUGCAAACUGAAAUGGUUAUUCCAAAGCCAUGACCACUUUUGUGUUUUUAAACGCUGUACGCAGAUAUAGCACAUUGCUGUCGGAGAUGUAACCUCCAGCAGCGCCAUUAGCCAGCUCUAAGGAAGAGUUCCGGGCUGGCUAAUGUUAAUUCUCUCCAUAAAUGGGGUCUGUCAGCACGCAUAGCAUGCUGGCAACAGACAUCCAAUGGUAGCAUGCCCCCCUCCUUUGCUGCCCGAUUUGUUCACUUAGCCUACCUUCCCACUGCAGUGAAGGGAAGUGAUGUCCUCUGAGGAGGAUCAGACUGCAGGGAGAACCUGGCCUCAGUGUGGGAUUGUCAUUUUUUUUUUUUUUUUUUACAGAAGGGAUCAUGCCAGCAUGGGUUGCUCCAUCCAAAAAAGGGUUACCUUAAAGGUUUACUCCAACCAAAAACUGUGUUUUAUUAAAACACAGUUUUUGGUUGGAGUAACCCUUUAAGAUAAAAUUGUGCAUUUACCAGAUAUGGGCGUAGUCGUGAGCACAUUUUGUGAAUAGCAGAUGCACACUAAACAUUCCGUUAUGGUUGUACGAUGUUUAAUCAUUAUGUGCAUUUAUGGCUCUGUUUGCCAAACAGGUUGUUCCUUGUAUAAUGCAAGUAAGAGACUAAUAUAACAUAUUUUAUAAAUUCAUUCCUUGCACUAUAACACACUAUAACACAUAAACCAAGCAAACCCUGAUGCUAUAGGCAGUAAAAUAACAGCAGAAAAGUGUAUUCCUUUCAAGAAAUAAAAGCUUUUCUACAUUAUAUUAAUACUCUCUUAAUCCCAGCUGUUCUAUGUAAAAUUUUCAGUUUUAUAUAAUGUUUGAAUCGUUGUUAUUAAAAUGCUGUUUCUCCGAUUCUUCUAAAUGCGACUUUAUCCUAAUGUUUUCUCAUACUAAAUUCCAAAUCUAAAGUAAUCUUACCAAGUGAUUAGAAGUUGAAUUUGCUGAGCAGACUACUGCUGGAGAUUGAGUAAUAUAUCUUUGUGCAGUGUGUGCAGUUUCUUACAACAAACAACAUCCUUAAUUUCAGAUGGGUAAAAUUGCCUGGAUUGUGACAUUUUAUUCCUUUCCGUAAAAUCCCACUUCGGUCUGGAACAUAUUGAUGUAUUUAAAUGGAACCCAAAGUCGAAGAGGCAAUUUCUGGUAGUCCAGCCAAUUGGCUUUCUCU
rnacentral:lncRNA from 1 species